rnacentral:rRNA from 1 species
GGGUUGUGAGGUUAAGCGACUAAGCGUACACGGUGGAUGCCCUGGCAGUCAGAGGCGAUGAAGGACGUGCUAAUCUGCGAUAAGCGUCGGUAAGGUGAUAUGAACCGUUAUAACCGGCGAUUUCCGAAUGGGGAAACCCAGUGUGAUUCGUCACACUAUCAUUAACUGAAUCCAUAGGUUAAUGAGGCGAACCGGGGGAACUGAAACAUCUAAGUACCCCGAGGAAAAGAAAUCAACCGAGAUUCCCCCAGUAGCGGCGAGCGAACGGGGAGGAGCCCAGAGCCUGAAUCAGUGUGUGUGUUAGUGGAAGCGUCUGGAAAGGCGCGCGAUACAGGGUGACAGCCCCGUACACAAAAAUGCACAUACUGUGAGCUCGAUGAGUAGGGCGGGACACGUGGUAUCCUGUCUGAAUAUGGGGGGACCAUCCUCCAAGGCUAAAUACUCCUGACUGACCGAUAGUGAACCAGUACCGUGAGGGAAAGGCGAAAAGAACCCCGGCGAGGGGAGUGAAAAAGAACCUGAAACCGUGUACGUACAAGCAGUGGGAGCCUCUUUUAUGGGGUGACUGCGUACCUUUUGUAUAAUGGGUCAGCGACUUAUAUUCUGUAGCAAGGUUAACCGAAUAGGGGAGCCGAAGGGAAACCGAGUCUUAACUGGGCGUUAAGUUGCAGGGUAUAGACCCGAAACCCGGUGAUCUAGCCAUGGGCAGGUUGAAGGUUGGGUAACACUAACUGGAGGACCGAACCGACUAAUGUUGAAAAAUUAGCGGAUGACUUGUGGCUGGGGGUGAAAGGCCAAUCAAACCGGGAGAUAGCUGGUUCUCCCCGAAAGCUAUUUAGGUAGCGCCUCGUGAACUCAUCUCCGGGGGUAGAGCACUGUUUCGGCAAGGGGGUCAUCCCGACUUACCAACCCGAUGCAAACUGCGAAUACCGGAGAAUGUUAUCACGGGAGACACACGGCGGGUGCUAACGUCCGUCGUGAAGAGGGAAACAACCCAGACCGCCAGCUAAGGUCCCAAAGUCAUGGUUAAGUGGGAAACGAUGUGGGAAGGCCCAGACAGCCAGGAUGUUGGCUUAGAAGCAGCCAUCAUUUAAAGAAAGCGUAAUAGCUCACUGGUCGAGUCGGCCUGCGCGGAAGAUGUAACGGGGCUAAACCAUGCACCGAAGCUGCGGCAGCGACACUAUGUGUUGUUGGGUAGGGGAGCGUUCUGUAAGCCUGUGAAGGUGUACUGUGAGGUAUGCUGGAGGUAUCAGAAGUGCGAAUGCUGACAUAAGUAACGAUAAAGCGGGUGAAAAGCCCGCUCGCCGGAAGACCAAGGGUUCCUGUCCAACGUUAAUCGGGGCAGGGUGAGUCGACCCCUAAGGCGAGGCCGAAAGGCGUAGUCGAUGGGAAACAGGUUAAUAUUCCUGUACUUGGUGUUACUGCGAAGGGGGGACGGAGAAGGCUAUGUUGGCCGGGCGACGGUUGUCCCGGUUUAAGCGUGUAGGCUGGUUUUCCAGGCAAAUCCGGAAAAUCAAGGCUGAGGCGUGAUGACGAGGCACUACGGUGCUGAAGCAACAAAUGCCCUGCUUCCAGGAAAAGCCUCUAAGCAUCAGGUAACAUCAAAUCGUACCCCAAACCGACACAGGUGGUCAGGUAGAGAAUACCAAGGCGCUUGAGAGAACUCGGGUGAAGGAACUAGGCAAAAUGGUGCCGUAACUUCGGGAGAAGGCACGCUGAUAUGUAGGUGAAGUCCCUCGCGGAUGGAGCUGAAAUCAGUCGAAGAUACCAGCUGGCUGCAACUGUUUAUUAAAAACACAGCACUGUGCAAACACGAAAGUGGACGUAUACGGUGUGACGCCUGCCCGGUGCCGGAAGGUUAAUUGAUGGGGUCAGCGCAAGCGAAGCUCUUGAUCGAAGCCCCGGUAAACGGCGGCCGUAACUAUAACGGUCCUAAGGUAGCGAAAUUCCUUGUCGGGUAAGUUCCGACCUGCACGAAUGGCGUAAUGAUGGCCAGGCUGUCUCCACCCGAGACUCAGUGAAAUUGAACUCGCUGUGAAGAUGCAGUGUACCCGCGGCAAGACGGAAAGACCCCGUGAACCUUUACUAUAGCUUGACACUGAACAUUGAGCCUUGAUGUGUAGGAUAGGUGGGAGGCUUAGAAGUGUGGACGCCAGUCUGCAUGGAGCCGACCUUGAAAUACCACCCUUUAAUGUUUGAUGUUCUAACGUUGACCCGUGAUCCGGGUUGCGGACAGUGUCUGGUGGGUAGUUUGACUGGGGCGGUCUCCUCCUAAAGAGUAACGGAGGAGCACGAAGGUUGGCUAAUCCUGGUCGGACAUCAGGAGGUUAGUGCAAUGGCAUAAGCCAGCUUGACUGCGAGCGUGACGGCGCGAGCAGGUGCGAAAGCAGGUCAUAGUGAUCCGGUGGUUCUGAAUGGAAGGGCCAUCGCUCAACGGAUAAAAGGUACUCCGGGGAUAACAGGCUGAUACCGCCCAAGAGUUCAUAUCGACGGCGGUGUUUGGCACCUCGAUGUCGGCUCAUCACAUCCUGGGGCUGAAGUAGGUCCCAAGGGUAUGGCUGUUCGCCAUUUAAAGUGGUACGCGAGCUGGGUUUAGAACGUCGUGAGACAGUUCGGUCCCUAUCUGCCGUGGGCGCUGGAGAACUGAGGGGGGCUGCUCCUAGUACGAGAGGACCGGAGUGGACGCAUCACUGGUGUUCGGGUUGUCAUGCCAAUGGCACUGCCCGGUAGCUAAAUGCGGAAGAGAUAAGUGCUGAAAGCAUCUAAGCACGAAACUUGCCCCGAGAUGAGUUCUCCCUGACCCUUUAAGGGUCCUGAAGGAACGUUGAAGACGACGACGUUGAUAGGCCGGGUGUGUAAGCGCAGCGAUGCGUUGAGCUAACCGGUACUAAUGAACCGUGAGGCUUAACCUUACAACGCCGAAGCUGUU